rnacentral:rRNA from 1 species
AACGAACGCUGGCGGCAGGCCUAACACAUGCAAGUCGAGCGAGGACUUCGGUCCUAGCGGCGGACGGGUGAGUAACGCGGGGGAACGUGCCCUUUACUUCGGAAUAGCCCUGGGAAACUGGGAGUAAUACCGGAUGAGCCCUUUGGGGGAAAGAUUUAUCGGCGAAGGAUCGGCCCGCGUUGGAUUAGGUAGUUGGUGGGGUAAUCGCCUACCAAGCCGACGAUGCAUAGCUGGUUUGAGAGGAUGAUCAGCCACACUGGAACUGAGACACGGCCCAGACUCCUACGGGAGGCAGCAGUGGGGAAUCUAAGACACUGGGGGAUGCCCUGAUCUAGCCAUGCCGCGUGAGCGAGGAAGGCCUUAGGGUUGUACAGCUCUUUCAGCUGGGAAGAUAAUGACGGUACCAGCAGAAGAAGCCCCGGCUAACUCCGUG